rnacentral:rRNA from 1 species
UGCCCGGUAGUUGGGGUAAACUUGAGGAAACUCAGAGCUAAUACCGCAUACGCCCUACGUACGCAAGCAGGGGCUCUUCGGACCUUGCGCUAUCGGAUUAGCUUAUGUCGGAUUAGCUGGUUGGUGAGGUAACGGCUCACCAAGGCUACGAUCCGUAGCUGGUCUGAGAGGAUGAUCAGCCACAUCGGGACUGAGACAGGUCCCGAACUCCUACGGAAGGCAGCAGUGGGGAAUAUUGGACAAUGGGGGCAACCCUGAUCCAGCCAUGCCGCGAGUGUCAAGAAGGCCCUCGGGUUGUAAAGCACUUUCAGCGAGGAAUAACGCCUGUCGGUUAAUACCCGGCAGGGGCGACAUCACUCGCAGAAGAAGCACCGACUAACUCCGUGCCAGCAGCCGCGGUAAUACGGAGAGUGCGAGCGUUAAUCGGAAUUACUGGACGUAUAGCGUGCGUAGGCCGCUUGAUAAGCCGGUUGUGACAGCCCCGGGAUCAACCUGUGAACGGCAUCCGGAACUGUCAGGCUAGAGUGCUUGAGAUGCAGGUAGAAUUCCCGGUGUAGCGGUGAAAUGCGUAAAGAUCGUGAAGAAUACCAGUAGCGAAAGCGGCCUUCUGGACUGUCACUGACGCUGAUGAACCUAAGCGUGGAUAGCAAACGGGAUUAGAUGCCCUGGUAGCCCACGUCGUAAACGAUGUCGACUAGCC